rnacentral:rRNA from 1 species
CCUACGGGAGGCAGCAGUGAGGAAUAUUGGUCAAUGGACGAGAGUCUGAACCAGCCAAGUAGCGUGAAGGAUGACUGCCCUAUGGGUUGUAAACUUCUUUUAUAUGGGAAUAAAAUGUUCCACGUGUGGGAUUUUGUAUGUACAAUAUGAAUAAGGAUCGGCUAACUCCGUGCCAGCAGCCGCGGUAAUACGGAGGAUACGAGCGUUAUCCGGAUUUAUUGGGUUUAAAGGGAGCGUAGGUGGAUUGUUAAGUAAGUUGUGAAAGUUUGCGGCUCAACCGUAAAAGUGCAGUUGAAACUGGCAGUCUUGAGUACAGUAGAGGUGGGCGGAAUUCGUGGUGUAGCGGUGAAAUGCUUAGAUAUCACGAAGAACUCCGAUUGCGAAGGCAGUUCACUGGACUGCAACUGACACUGAGGCUCGAAAGUGUGGGUAUCAAACAGGAUUAGAUACCCCAGUAGUC